rnacentral:sRNA from 2 species
ACAGCUGAUAUCUUCACUUUUGUCCACGAUCAAACUGUUGGGGGAUAUGUGCUCGAUGGAUGUAGACUACUUUACUACGGCUGAUAUCAGGGGGUUGGGCUGAAGCGACUGUUGACGCUCGUUGGUUGGAGGUACGAGUAACGGGGUGAAUCAUGAAUCUCUCGAGAAUGGUAUCUGAAUUCCAUUUGAUAACUCGUUACUUAUGCCGAUUAAUCCAUGACGCACAUACAUACUAGUAGUACUGGUAUCUUCAGGUUGUUGAACUUGUUGGUGAAAGGAACCGCGGCAACUUGACGGAAUGACGCCAAGUCGCCAACCCGAAGAGCCCAAGAAAAAAAGCUCCUGUUAUCAUAUGCCUUUGCCGGAGCCAACAUCAAAAUCAACAUCAACAUCCGAACUACGGAUUUUCAAUCGCUUUUUUUUUUAACACCUUUGUCUGGAAAGAAGAAAGAAGAAGCUUGAAAAAUAAUAGAGCAAUAAAUUCGUCAACCUACUUCUGCCACCCUCGACUCUUUGUUUUUAUUUACUCUAACCGCGCCCCCCAACCGCCCUCCUCUAACCCCCCCUCGAAAUUGCCUCGACCAAAUAGAGCAAUCCCACAGAGCCAACAUCAGAGAAAACCGAGUGAUGGCUGAGGAGGGGAAGAAGGAAAAAGAUAAGAUAGAAGAGGAGGGAAGUAUGGCUGCCCCAGCGGAAGCCAGCAGCAUUGCGGGGGUGCCGGCGACUGCAACGGAGGCUGACAGCCAGGCUCAUGCUCGGUCUACUGCUGGGCUAAAACGAGAUGAAGAGGAUUCAGAUUUUGAUUUGGAUGACCUCCUCGACGAUUUCUCUCCAACAAAAAACCUUCCCUCAGCUACUCCCGCCGCACCCUCUUCGAAUAAACCCUCAUAUGCUUCCGCCUCCACCUCCGCCGCAGGACCGCAGCUACCGCCAUCAUUCCCAUCCGACCAAAAUGCCACCGGUGCCUCCGAAUCAGACCUCGAUGAGGACGCCUUCCUCCGGCAGCUUGAACACGGCAUGGCGGGGCUCUUGCAUCAAAAACCCACCGGCAGCGACGGCGGUGGUGGAGAUGGAGGGGGUGGCGACGGCGAACCAGACUGGGAUGCCCUCGCGCAGCGAAUGGCGCAGGGCGAAAUGGAUCCGACGGCU